CUCAUUCUAACUUAUUGCACCAGUGCAACAGUGCAGCUAGAAAGAACAGACCAAAGAACAGGCCAGUCGAGUGCGAAAAGUGCAAGUAACGCAACAGGCCCAUUCACUUGCAUUUUCUGGACAUAACCAAUGUAUGUCAACAAUGAAGCGUACUUGGCUUGUUAUCGCCCAGUCAUUUGUUUUGAAAUGUUGCAGUGUACAAUCACUGAGACAUCGUUACAUUGGCACAAUGGCGCAUCCGCUAAUUGCAGUAUGUCAAAUGCGAUCGAUAGCUGAUAAAGUAAAAAAUCUGGAGGUUGUGACCGAAUUAACGGCCGAAGCCAAACGCAGAUCAGCCAUAAUAGCAUUUUUUCCUGAAGCUUGCGAUUUUUUGGCAAAUAAUAAGAAAGAUAUCAUUACUAUGGCUGAACCUCUGACUGGACAGACAGUGACAUCUUAUAAAGAAAUUGCUAUAAAGAAUGAUAUUUGGUUGUCUUUAGGUGGAAUUCACGAAGCUUCAGAUAAUGUGGAAAAAAUUUAUAAUACACAUAUAUUGAUAAAUAAUCAAGGGCAACUGGUAGCUGCAUACAGAAAGAUACACUUAUUUGACAUGGAUAACAAAGAUACUGGAGUACGCUUAGUGGAAUCGGAUUACGUGCUUAAAGGAACCGAAAUUGUGCCACCAGUACAAACACCGAUCGGCAAGCUAGCGCUUAGCAUUUGUUAUGAUAUACGGUUUCCCGAAUUAUCAUUAACUUUGCGAAACAUGGGAGCACAGAUUCUCACGUAUCCGUCGGCAUUCACAUAUCAGACUGGUGCCGCACACUGGGAGGUGAUGUUGCGAGCGCGAGCCAUAGAAAAUCAGUGUUACGUCGUGGCUGCGGCGCAAACCGGCACGCAUAACAAAAAGAGAGUGAGUUGGGGUCAUGCUAUGAUCGUGGAUCCUUGGGGCGCCGUUAUAGCACAAUGCGCGGAAAAAACGGGUAUAGUUGUGGCGGAAGUUGAUCUCGUGCUAUUGGAAAAAGUGAGAAAAAAUAUGCCGUGCGAGGAACACCGUCGCAUUGAUUUGUACUCUAAAAUGGGAUGUUAAAAGUUUACAAAGUUUAAUAAGACCAUUUACAUUAAUGAUAAUUAACUUUAAACUCGGUUUCAUUUAUUCUUUCUUUUUCUAAGUUAUAAAAAUGAGUAAGUUAAACCGAAAAUAAAAUUUCUAUUCUGUUUAGUUAAAGAAUAUAAUCGAUAUGCGUAUAAAUAGGAUAAAGUGGGAAAAAUGCAACACCUUAAAGCUUUUUCAUGUGCUGCUGAAACUGAUCGUUUGAGCGACAAAAAGGAUCACGUGACGGGAUUUGUUGCUAAAUAUUUGUCGUUUGUAAUCUAGCGGCUAUGAUUUUGUAGUUUAAACUGGUUUAACUACAAAGUAUUUGUUGCUCAAAUGCUGUGUAAAAUAGAUACACAACGACAGUGCUGCUGCACCGUGUUCAUUGUAUGUUCCGAGAAAAAUAACAUAACCUUACAAAUCAGAGUAUUAGUUAUGUUAUUUUCAGAAAUCGUAAAAAGUUUCAUGUAAAUGCAACCAUUCCAUUGGUUGGAAUCGUUGAGAUUACGUAAAGCACUGACAGUUCUCUGAUGUUUAUGAAAUUUUGAUUCAAUCAUUUGUAACAAGUCCUCCAGUUGUAUUGAUGAUAUGAGGAAAUAAUUUAUAAAUUUUGCACUUUCUAACUUUAUAUAUGAGGUUUGUUUUUUUAUUCCUGCACUGCUGCACUAGUGUAAUAAGUUAGAAUGAAAAUAAAUAUAUUUGUUUUUAUUUUAUUAUAUGUCGAAUAAUAAUUUGCAUUUAUUUUAUUACAUGUCGAAUAAUAACAAUGUACAUACAUAAAGUUUCCUUUGUAUCAGAUGCUCAUUUUACUUCUGACUUCUGUCUCAUAGACAUCUAGUACAUUCUUAACUUUUUAAUUAAAAAAAAUCAUUUCUUCAUCCGUUUCAAACUCAAGUCCGAAGUGUGAUAAUUUAACAAUUCUCUUUUUCAAGGCAUAUGUAAGUUGUUUUUUUAAAUAUCUAUUAACAUUCAUUCUUAAAUCAUCUCUUAAUAGUUACAUAUAAUUUCCUUUGUCCGGUUUUAUUCAGAUACUUGGAUAUUUAUGCUUCCACAAUUUUGCAAAAACAACAGUCUUUUAACAUUUCCGUUCACUGUUUCAUAUGAAAGAGAUAAUUAAUUGUUCUUUCACCUGAACAUUUGAUAUAAGGGAUCACUCCUGGACUACGUCUCUAUUCUUUAUUGUUAUUUUAAUUUAUAUUUUGACGAAUGACACUUCUUCCGAUUUAGACUUCAAUUUCGAUUGUUAAUCCUAAUUACUUUUAUUCGGUUUAUUAUUUAUUUUUAAUCUGUGUUAACCUUAUUUUUUAAUAUUCUUGACCAUUUACUUUAUAUCAUUCAGCGUGUUUAUAUAUACUUUAAGUUUUGUUUUUCAUUAUACUUCAAUUGUUUUAUAAGCGGCUGAAGAUGACUUUGUAAAGUCGAAACGUUUCGAAAUUUUAAUCUAAUUUAUAUCAAGUUAUUUCUAAUAAAAUUACUUAUUUUCUCGCUACAUCAUAAUCUGUUCGUCUUCUUGACCUUUAUUAUAUAUUGUUUUUAUAUUUUUCUUGUUCUAAUUUAUUGCACCAGAAUGCAGCAGUGCAGAAAUAAAAAACAAACCUAUGGUAAUGUAAUUCGAUCAGUUUCAGUAACACGAAAAAGCACCUUUAUAGCAAAUUCAGUACACAUACACUGACUCUAUUCUGAUGCUGCCGUGACAUGGUGCGAAUGCAGAGUAGAAUUAUUUUAUGCGUAUAGCAUGUAGUACUAGCACGGAGUAAGAGGAGUAUGAUGUUUAUAGCGUGUGAAUAGAGGAAGUGGCCCCGUUUUUAUCCCCCUAAUUGGGAGAGGAUCCGCUGAAAGCAUGGAGAAUAGACAUCAGGAGGACGAUCAAAGGCAAAAAAGCACGGAUUUUCAUAAUGGAUUCUUUUAUGGAUCGUCCUCCUAGUCUCUAUUCUUCAUGGCUGAAAGAAAUGAAUUCUUAUUCAUGGCCACCAUUUGAAGAGAGGGAGAGGGAAGGAGAGGAGAGAGGAGGGAGAGAAGCAGAGAUAAUGGCUGCGUUCAGCGGAAAAAAUUUCUCAGUGAGCAUCUUAUGUUGCGCUCCCAACAGUUUGCGGUUUCUGCUGAACGCACUUUUAUCAGAUGUGCCAUCAGCAAGAUGGCGCUGAUCAUAGUGCAAAUUUGAAACUUAUAAUAAGCUUACUGUGGUACUGUGACUCUCACCAGAGUCGGAUAUCCAUUUGGGGAAUAACAAUAAGCUUACUGUGAAACAUCCUGCAUAUAUAUAUAUAUAUUUUUUUUUAUAUAAACAUUUGACUACUGAUUAUUACUAUCAAGUAUCAAUUCGAAAGGAGAUUCAAAAAUUAAUUAUUGAAGAAGAAAAAAGAUCUACAAACAAGGGGAAACUAAUAUUAUUAACAAAAAUAAUAGAUUUAAUAUUAUUUAUUGCGAUGGACGAAGCUAUAAAUUUAAAUAACGUUAUAAAUAAUAUAGAGACUUAGGUCUUGAAAUGCCUUUAAUUUAUGGAUCGCGAAAUUGUAAUUUUCUUUCAUUAUAUUUUUCUAAUAAAAGUUUUGUAUUUUGUCUUGUCCAAUUAAAUGUUGUCUCCUUAGGAUCUGUAACAUAAACGUACAUUAUUUUAUCACACGUUUGCAUGCAUGUAUGUAUAUGUGUAAAUAUUUGCAAAAUAUAAAUUUAAAUUUUA
rnacentral:misc_RNA from 1 species